UCCAACAGUCGCCCAUUCAUUGAAUGAUC
rnacentral:piRNA from 1 species